rnacentral:rRNA from 1 species
GGUAAUUUCUUUUACUAUUUUAAUUAUAUUCCUUUGAUCGAUCAAUUAUUGAUUGUGUUUCCUAAAAGAAGUUAUACCAUGAUUAAUUGUCUUUAGAUGAAUUAAUUAUAUUUCCCUUUUAUAUAACAAGAAGACUUCUUCGUAAGAGAAAAAAAUGAAAAUAAGAACUGAACCUAUAAUGCUUCAGCUAUUGAUGAAUUGCUUGAACAAACUCAACAUGAAUUCGACAAAUUUCUCGAAAAAAUUAAGAUCUUUUUGGGAUAUGUGUGGAGGUAAAAACUUAUCUUUGGUUCCAAGUUCAAACUAGCAUACUUUGAGAAUACUGAUCGAUGGAGCAAUAAGAUCAUUUGCAUUUCCAUUGUAGUCAAUUUAAGGUUUAAGAUUAUAGAUGAAAUAAACAUUAGAUGUUUGAGGAUACAACUGGAAUUUGAAUAUAUGAUAUAUAUAUAUAUAUACACACACACGCAUGGCACGACACUAAUGAUGUCUACACGAUGUGGCAUGACACAUAAGAUUUGAGGUCUACACCUCAUGACCCCAUUGAGACCUAAAAUCAUUUCUCUAUUUAUAUUUUGUACUCUGAUGCUUAUGAAACUCAAAUCACUAAAUUAUGGUUGUGUUGCUUAUGCUCCUUGUUGCUUAUGUGUGUUAUGUACUUAUUGAUAUGAUAAGCAUGAUAUACUAUGUUGCUUAGCUGGAUGAUCUAUCCAUGACCAGGAUGAAGCUUGGCUGAAACUAAGUGGAGGUUUGAACCGACUGAUAUUGAAUAAUCAGUAGAUGAGUUGUGGUUAGGGGUGAAAUGUCACUCGAACCCAGAGCUAGUUGUUUCUCCUCGAAAUGCGUUGAAUCACAAUAGUUGACUGUACAUCUAGGGGUAAAACAAUGUUUCGAUGCUGGCUGUAAGAGCGGUACUGAAUCGAGGCAAACUCUAAAUACUAGAUAUGACCUCAAAAUAACAGGAGCAAUGUCGGCCAGUGAGACAGUGGGAGAUAAUCUUCAUCGUCGAGAGGGAAACAACCUAGAUCACUAGCUAAGGCCUUUAAAUGACCACUUCGUAAAUGAGGUAGGGGUUCAGAGACAACCAUGAGGUUUUCCUAGAAGCAUUCACUCUUGAAAGAGUGCAUAGUAGCUCACUGAUGAGCACUCUUGCGCCGAAGAUGAACGGGGCUAAGCAAUUUGCCAAAGUUGUGGGCUGUAAAAAUGCAUCUGCAGGGGAGCGUUCCGCCUAGAGGGAAGCAACCGCGCGAGCAGCGGUGGACGAAGUGGAAGCGAGAAUGUCAGCUUGAGUAACACAAAAAUUUAUGAGAAUCUAAUGCCCUGAAAACUCAAGGGUUCCUCCACGAGAUUCAUCCACGAAGGGUGAGUUAGGGCCUAAGAUCAGGUCAAAAGGCAUAGUCAAUAGACAACAAGUGAAUAUUCAUGUACUACCCCUUGUUGGUCCCGAGGAACGAAUGAGGCAAGGUUAGUCGAAAGAUGGUUAUCGUUUCAAGGACGUGAGGUGCCCCUGAUUUUUCUGGGUAAGAAGGGCAGAGAAAAUGCCCUAAAGUAACCUAUGCCAUACUCCCAGGAAAAGCUCGAACGGCCUUCAACAAAAGGGUACCUGUACUCGAAACUGACACAGGUGGGUAGGUAGAGAAUACAUGGGGGCACGAGAUAACUCUCUCUAAGGAACUCGACAAAAUAGCUCCGUAACUUCGGAAGAAGGGGUGCUUCCUCACAAAGGAGGUCGCAGUGACUGGGCCCGGGUUAGGACUGUUCCGUUUCAGUUCAGUUCGCCUACUUUUAAAACCGAAAACUGAUCAUAAAGGAUUAUUUCGGUUCAUUUUUUUACUUCGGUUUAUCGAUUUUUCUUGGAUUUUUUUUAAAGAAAACUGUAACAAAAAAAAUAGAAACUAUUGUUCCGAAUCAUUAUAGAAACAUGUUACAUACUAUUUUUUCCAGAACUUCGUAUCGAAAUGAACAUCAAAUAUAAUUAACCUAUAGAUCCCAUAUAAGAUUAUAAAUUCAAAUGUCCAAAUAUCCAUGCAAGAUUACAAAUUCAAAUGUCCAAAUGUUCAUGCAAGAUUACAAAUUCAAAUGUCCAAUUGUUCAUGCAAGAUUACAAAUUCAAAUGUCCAAAUGCAAGUUAAAUAAACAUCAAACACGAUAACACAUAAAAUGCAAACAUUGCAAAGUUUCAAAAGCCUCCAAGUCCAAGAGCUUAUCACAAAGUCUCCAACUUCUGUGAAAAUCAAAGAAAUAAAAAUAUUUACAACAUGAAAGAAAGCUUAGAACAAGAAACCAAUCAAAGUCAUCAAACUAAACAAAAAGAAAAUAAUAUACCCAACAACAUUAAGCUUGAUUGAUACUUGUAGGAGGUCCCAUAUUACCAUUUGAUGAAGCCGAACAAGAUUCCUUACGGAGUUCUACAUAACAACAAAAUAUAGAGAAACUAUUAGAAUGCAAUAUAACAAAACAAACCAACAAAGUAACAAACUAAACAAAAAUAUAUUCAAUAAAAUAGUACCUUCAAUUACAAUAUCACAAAACUCCAUAUCAUAGAUGGUUGGGUCUUCAUGUAAGGCAACAUAUGUACCCUUAAGCUAAUUUUGUGUACAAAUCAAAGUCUCCACCAUCUUUGGACUCAACGAACUACGAAAUGGAUUGAUGACACUACCACUUGUGCUAAAGGAAGAUUCCAAAGCUAUAGUUGACACCGGAAUUGGUAGACAUCAUUUGCAACUCUAGCCAAUAUUGGGUACUUAGAAGCUCCACACACUCUCCACCAAUCCAAUAUGUCAAAGUUCUCAUCCUCGUCUCAUUUAACGGAAUCCGCUAGAUAUUUCUCCACAUCAUUAGAAGUAACUCCAACUUUCAUUUCUUUUCUUCUUUGUUGUUUUUCAGCCAACCUUCUUUCAAAUCAAAUGGAACCAACAAUU